UCCUGGCUCAGAUUGAACGCUGGCGGCAUGCCUUACACAUGCAAGUCGAACGGUAACAGGUCUUUCGGGAUGCUGACGAGUGGCGAACGGGUGAGUAAUACAUCGGAACGUGCCUAGUAGUGGGGGAUAACUACUCGAAAGAGUGGCUAAUACCGCAUGAGAUCUAUGGAUGAAAGCAGGGGACCUUCGGGCCUUGUGCUACUAGAGCGGCCGAUGGCAGAUUAGGUAGUUGGUGGGAUAAAAGACUUACCAAGCCUGCGAUCUGUAGCUGGUCUGAGAGGACGAUCAGCCACACUGGGACUGAGACACGGCCCAGACUCCUACGGGAGGCAGCAGUUGGGGAAUUUUGGACAAUGGGCGCAAGCCUGAUCCAGCAAUGCCGCGUGCAGGAUGAAGGCCUCGG
rnacentral:rRNA from 1 species